UUGUCUUGCCAAAGGCAUCGCUGGGUAGCUAUGUGCGGACGGGAUAAGUGCUGAAAGCAUCUAAGCAUGAAGCCCCCCUCAAGAUGAGAUUUCCCUUAGCGCAAGCUAGUAAGAACCCUGAAAGAUGAUCAGGUUGAUAGGUCAGAGGUGGAAGCACGGUGACGUGUGGAGCUGACUGAUACUAAUCGUUCGAGGACUUAACCAA
rnacentral:rRNA from 1 species